rnacentral:rRNA from 1 species
UAAUACCGCAUAACAGUUUAUGCCGCAUGGCAUAAGAGUGAAAGGCGCUUUCGGGUGUCGCUGAUGGAUGGACCCGCGGUGCAUUAGCUAGUUGGUGAGGUAACGGCUCACCAAGGCCACGAUGCAUAGCCGACCUGAGAGGGUGAUCGGCCACACUGGGACUGAGACACGGCCCAGACUCCUACGGGAGGCAGCAGUAGGGAAUCUUCGGCAAUGGACGAAAGUCUGACCGAGCAACGCCGCGUGAGUGAAGAAGGUUUUCGGAUCGUAAAACUCUGUUGUUAGAGAA